GGGGGUGUAAAGGUUUCGACUGUUGGAGCCCGGGGUGUGGGCUGCAAGUGGAGCGUUACCUCCUUAAACUACCUUUUUGAUAAGUGCCAAAAACAAUGAUGAAGUUAUCGUUUCUUUCGAUAACUCCGCACUUGCAAUCGCAGCUUAAUUAAGUGUUGCGACGGAUAUCGUACACGCCGUUCUGAGGGUGCGAAUAUCCGCCAGAAACCAGAACUUACCCUUUCUUUAGCCCGGGACUGAGGGGGGAAAUCUUUCCGGAAGUAGGUUAAUUCGGGGUCGUUUCUUUCCCUUGUUUUAUCCGAAUUACAAUAAGAAACUAAACUUGUAGAGGCUUAUGCAACGCCCAAUAGGACGCGGGUUCGACUCCCGCCACCUCCAUUA
rnacentral:tmRNA from 1 species